UAAAAUUUAUUAGUAAGUAAGUAAGUGAGUAAGUAAAUAUUUAUUGAGACUUUUUUCUUUUUCGAUAACAUGUGUUUACUUAACUAAAUGGUAACAUGUACGAAUAUAACAUAGAACUAUUGUUGUCUUAUUCUAUUAUACGGUGUUUUAUGAAAAACGCUACUUGCUAAUUUUCUUUUUUAAGGGAAUAUGUUAGUAAUAUAAAGUUAUAAGAGAACAAGGUUUGCUCGCGACCUUUUACUUUUGCAGACAGCGCAAGAGAGUCUGUCAAAUAAAUAAAUAAAUAAAUAAAUAAAUAAAUAAAUAAAACAAAAUAAAAUACAGAACACUUAAAACGAGAUAACAAACAAAAUCCGUUACAAAAAUAAAUUAUGGCUACAGAAUUCAAAAUGUCGAAAAGACAUACAAUGAAUGUAGAUAUCACAGAAUUAUAAUAUAAAAUAUUUGAUAUAAUACGGUGGUUCAGCCCCUAUGGGAGCCAGGAACUAUUUUAGAAUAAAAUUGUGGCAACAUAUGUGGGUCAUGAUCGAUGUCCGGGUUCUCGUUAGUAUACCAACUGGAGAGAGAUAAGUUGAACUUGACCACUGCAGACUCCAUGAAUUUCAUUCAUCAGGGAGUUUUCGUGGGUGGCCAAUUUUUCAACAAAUACCCUUUGAUGGCGAAGUGCAUAUUUACAGAAGGGUUGGACUUCAGAGGUGUCAUAUAUUAUCUUCCGUUCAAAUAUUUCCAAUUCUUUGGCUACUAUUGGUGAGAUAGUGAACCAGAUUGAAAAUCCAUAUAACAAGACGGAUCUGAUGGUCACCUUAUAUAGGAGCAGCUUGGUUUCACGAGAUUUAAAUGGAAUCUCAACCCCAUCGAGAACGGCGCGUAACAUUUUGCUUUGGGGUACUACUGACCGAUGACACUUUCCGGAAGCAUUCCUAAUACAGAUGGCCUCCGAUUUGGUAGGAUUUAUUUUAAUUCCCCAUGUUAUAUAAAAUUCAUGUAUCAACAUAAGAUGAAUUGAAACAUUGUGAAGAGCCUGGGCUGGUGAGGCGCUGUGGGCAUAAAUUAAGCAAUCAUCUGCGUAUAAGAUUGCCUUAGAGUUCUGUGUGGUACUAAAAUUUAUUACAACAUUCGAAAAACAUAUGAAAAAUUGUCGUAUGAGUUGUAUAGAGCUUUUGCAUAGAAAAUACCAACAGCAUUGUUAUGACUAUUGUAGCAGCUGCUGACAUAC